rnacentral:rRNA from 1 species
UAAAAGUGGUGUAAAAAAGUAGUGUGUUCACAGUGUUGGAAACUGAGAUUGGUCGACCUCUAAAAAGAGCUCCUGAAUUUCAAUAAAUGAUCUUUUUUCUCUCGGUAUAGGGUGACCUGCGGAAGGAUCAUUAAUGAAAUUCAAGGACGCUCUUUUUAGAGGUCCGACCAAUCUCAUUUUCCAACACUGUGAACACACUACUUUUUUACACCCACUUUUAUAACACAAAAGUCUAUAAGAAUGUCAAAGUCUCUUAACUGAGCAUAAAGUUAAUAAUAAAACUUUCGGCAACGGAUCUCUUGGCUCCCGCAUCGAUGAAGAACGCAGCGAAAUGCGAUACGUAAUGUGAAUUGCAGAAUUCAGUGAAUCAUCGAAUCUUUGAACGCACCUUGCACUCUUUGGUAUUCCGAAGAGUAUGUCUGUUUGAGUGUCAUGAAUCUCUCAACCCCCCUGUUUUGUAAUGAGACAGGCGUUCGGGCUUGGAUUAUGGUCGCUUGCUGGUCGUAGAGCUCUAACUAGCUCUACACUUAUCAGCUCGACUGAAAUACACGAGCAACCCAGUUUGAAUAUUAACGGCUUGACUCGGCGUAAUAAUUAUUUCGCUGAGGACGUUUCAUAUCAAGAUAGUGGUGCUUCUAAUGCAGAGCGUGUAACAGCGUCUCUACUCUUAAGCCUUAGACCUCAAAUCAGGCAGGACUACCCGCUGAACUUAAGCAUAUCAUAACCGGGAAGGAAAAAGGUAUCUUAAUUAAAAUCAGGACGCUCUUUUUAGAGGUCCGACCAAUCUCAUUUUCAACACUGUGAACACACUACUUUUUUACACCACUUUUA